AUUGAACGCUGGCGGCAGGCUUAACACAUGCAAGUCGAGCGGGGACUUCGGUCCUAGCGGCGAACGGGUGAGGAAUGCUUGGGAAUCUGCCCAGUAGCGGGGGAUAACGUUUCGAAAGGAACGCUAAUACCGCAUACGCCCUACGGGGGAAAGGGGGGGAUCUUCGGACCUCUCACUAUUGGAUGAGCCCAAGUCGGAUUAGCUAGUUGGUGGGGUAAGGGCCUACCAAGGCGACGAUCCGUAGCUGGUCUGAGAGGAUGAUCAGCCACACUGGGACUGAGACACGGCCCAGACUCCUACGGGAGGCAGCAGUGGGGAAUAUUGGACAAUGGGGGGAACCCUGAUCCAGCCAUGCCGCGUGUGUGAAGAAGGCCUUAUGGUUGUAAAGCACUUUAAGCGAGGAGGAGGCUACUGAGACUAAUACUCUUGGAUAGUGGACGUUACUCGCAGAAUAAGCGCCGGCUAACUCUGUGCCAGCAGCCGCAGUAAAAC
rnacentral:rRNA from 1 species